UUCUGUAUUUAGGCUGCCUCUUGCUAAUCCUGUCUGACCUCAGAAGCAAAACAAGGGCAGGCUUUGGUAAUACUUGUUUGGGAGACCACCUGUGGGCACCAGCAAAUGUCCAAU
rnacentral:rRNA from 1 species